UACGGGGGGGGCAAGCGUUGUUCGGAAUUACUGGGCGUAAAGGGUUCGUAGGUGGCCAAUUAAGUCAGACGUGAAAUCCCUCAGCUUAACUGGGGAACUGCGUCUGAGACUGGAUGGCUUGAGUGCAGGAGAGGAACGCGGAAUUCCAGGUGUAGCGGUGAAAUGCGUAGAUAUCGGGAGGAAUGCCAGUGGCGAAGGCGGCUUCCUGGCCUGCCCCUGACGCUGAGACGCGAAAGCUGGGGGAGCGAACGGG
rnacentral:rRNA from 1 species